rnacentral:ribozyme from 1 species
GGCAAAUUGCAAGAAAGUCUUUUAUGAAUCAACUAGGUUGAGUUAAGAAGAAAACUUGCAGGGAAGUUUAUUUAAUUUAAAUUAGAUAACAACCUUCAGAGACUAUAUGCC